ensembl:lncRNA
GUAGCAUUGCCUUCUCUCGUCUCAUUCAUCUAUUGACAUUACAAACAAGCAUGCACUAAGAUCAGUUAAUUUGUGCUCAACUGUUUUAAUAGUGAUAUUGUUUGAUGAAUUUAUUUAAAUCAUGAGAGCUGUUUCGGUUUAAGCAAAGACGUUGUUUUAUGUUUCAUAUGUUUAGAGUAAUUUGUGUGUUAGGUCAUCUUCAUUUAAUUAAAGAAUCCCGCUUGUAUUAUUGGUGAUUGGCCUGGCAACACAGUCUUCAGAAUUAAUGAAUGAAUGAAUGAAUGAAUUUGUUUUAUAGGUCUCUUAAAGGAGAACCAUCCGGUUGGUUUUUAAUUCCUCUUUCAUAGAUCCAGUUAUUUUAAAGGACUAGCACGACUAUUGUUUCUAUAUUUUGUGGUGAAUUGCCCAGUGCUCUUUUUGUAUUGUGUGUAUUAAUAUUAAUAUGAAUUUUUUUUUUUUUUUUUUUAAGUUGUCCUCCUUCCUGACUUAAUGGCGUCUGCAGGGCCUCCUACAUGGGUGUGACUGGCACUGGUGAGGUGGUGGGGAUUUUUCUGUGGUUUCUGGUGAUCUGUUUUUCCUUUCGAGUGCUGUGACUGCUGUGCUGCAUUGGGGUUUGAAUUUCAAUUAGUGGUUGUAUAUUUUCACACUGAUAGUUGUGCCCUGUUGGAGCCCUGUGGCAUGUCAAAGGUGUUUUGGAUAUUUAUUAUUUUGUGAAAGUUGGUAUCUGUGAAUUGUAAUAAAACUGCUUGUAUGAGCGGUAAAGCUUUCACUACAGUUUGUGGCCAGUUAUUAGCCCUCUCUGAUUUGGUGGGUUACACAUGACCAAUGUCUUGAAAUAAACCAUCUUAAUGUCUUGAUGUGUGGUUGUGACUCCAGGCUGUUAAAAUUAUUAGAGAGAUAAUGCACACCUGAAGUGGUUAUGUGGCCACGACGCUGCAUCUAUUAAUGGAAUGGUCUUUCUCAGUUAUCAAACAAAUUAAGAACUAGUGUCAGUUUAACGGUGAAAGAGAGCGAGGUGAGAUGGAAGCCACAAAUCAUUUAAUAUUAGUCAACUGUUUUACCACAGAAAUGUUUAAUGAUCACUAUAUGAUGACACAAUGAUACAAACUACAUGAUUUAUUCCAUUAAACAUGGCCAUUUUGAGAGUGAGAGGAUAAAAUUUGCAUGUUUGAAUUAUCUGUUCGUCUCUGUUUAGUUAGGUUUCUUCAAGAAGCAUCUCAUUGCUGCUGAGUAAUGUCUCAAAGCUAUUUUAUUAUAAUAAAAGGCAAGGAAUAGUAUUGACAACAUUUUUGCUCACUUCUCAGGGCUCUGAGCUUACUUUUCUUUUUAGGAGCACUUGUAAAUUUAAAAAAAAAAAAAAAAAAAAAUCAGAAGCAGAGUCAAAAAAAUUAUGGAGUAACCUUCUGUUCAAUAAUCCAAAAAGUGAUGUACAGUAAUGGCAUUUUUCUAAUUUUAUUACAUGUAGGCUAUGUCAGCUUUUAUGUCAAAUUCAAAUUUGUAAUUUUUAAGCUUUUUUUUUUUUUUAAUCUGUUUAAAACAAUAGAAUAUGAACAAGUAAGAAUAAGUUGGCAAUCAUAUGAAAAAAAUAUUAACGUUAAUUGGUAGGCUACUAGCACAGAAGAAGACAAAAGUGGAUUGUAGGCUAGAUGUAUUUUCAGAUGUUUAAUGAGGCUCAGAGGUGGCUUGAGUACAAUUAAAUUCAUAAAUUUAUGUUGAGGUUAAUGUUUCAAAUAUAACAAUUUUAACAGGCCUAUAGAAAUAUUCAGUGAUUGAAAUGACUGAAAUUAUACUUUAAAAUUGAAACUAAAACUGCUAGUAGUGGUGGCAGGUCACUGAUUUUAUAAUUUAUAAUCAAUUCAUUUGAAUGGCUGAUUCGCACAGGAAUGAAGCAGUUAUGAAUGGGAAAUUAUGAAUCACUGACUAGUUUAAAAACGCACCUUCUUUCAUUAACAAAACACCGCUGUGUUUGCUUUUAGAGAUUCGCAGCUGCUCAGCUGUGACUGUUUUAAACUAUUUUCGUUGACAAAAUCAGGCAAUAGUGUAAUAGUCAG